rnacentral:rRNA from 1 species
AACGAACGCUGGCGGCAGGCCUAACACAUGCAAGUCGAGCGCCCCGCAAGGGGAGCGGCGGACGGGUGAGUAACGCGUGGGAACGUACCCUUUGCUACGGAAUAGCCUCGGGAAACUGGGAGUAAUACCGUAUGUGCCCUUCGGGGGAAAGAUUUAUCGGCAAAGGAUCGGCCCGCGUUGGAUUAGGGUAGUUGGUGGGGUAAUGGCCUACCAAGCCGACGAUCCAUAGCUGGGUUUGAGAGGAUGAUCAGCCACACUGGGACUGAGACACGGGCCCAGACUCCUACGGGAGGCAGCAGUGGGGAAUCUUAGACAAUGGGCGCAAGCCUGAUCUAGCCAUGCCGCGUGAGCGAUGAAGGCCUUAGGGUUGUAAAGCUCUUUCAGUGGGGAAGAUAAUGACUGUACCCACAGAAGAAGCCCCGGCUAACUCCGUG